rnacentral:lncRNA from 1 species
AAAGUAUCUUCUAGCUCUAACUCUAAGAUCUCGUGUUUUGUUUUUGUUUUUUUUCCCAAGCUAGUUGCUCAAAACAGAUCUGCUCCUCCAGAAUUAACUGGGCAAAGGUGAAUUGGAGAAGUUUGGAAGCUUGUAAUCUUCAAAAAGGUUGGAAGAAGAAAUCAGAAACCAGGGACCAGUGUCUCUAUAGUGUCAAUAUAGCAAUUGAAACCAGUGAGGCAACACUGAGCUGCUUAAAAUGGUGUAGCAGUGGUUCUGUGGCGGGCAAGA